UGGGGAAUUUUGGACAAUGGGCGAAAGCCUGAUCCAGCAAUGCCGCGUGUGUGAAGAAGGCCUUCGGGUUGUAAAGCACUUUUGUCCGGAAAGAAAUCCUUGGCUCUAAUACAGCCGGGGGAUGACGGUACCGGAAGAAUAAGCACCGGCUAACUACGUGCCAGCAGCCGCGGUAAUACGUAGGGUGCAAGCGUUAAUCGGAAUUACUGGGCGUAAAGCGUGCGCAGGCGGUUUGCUAAGACCGAUGUGAAAUCCCCGGGCUCAACCUGGGAACUGCAUUGGUGACUGGCAGGCUAGAGUAUGGCAGAGGGGGGUAGAAUUCCACGUGUAGCAGUGAAAUGCGUAGAGAUGUGGAGGAAUACCGAUGGCGAAGGCAGCCCCCUGGGCCAAUACUGACGCUCAUGCACGAAAGCGUGGGGAGCAAACAGGAUUAGAUACCCUGGUAGUCCACGCCCUAAACGAUGUCAACUAGUUGUUGGGGAUUCAUUCCCUUAGUAACGUAGCUAACGCGUGAAGUUGACCGCCUGGGGAGUACGGUCGCAAGAUUAAAACUUAAAUGAAUUGACGGGGUCAUAGCUGUUUCCU
rnacentral:rRNA from 1 species